rnacentral:rRNA from 1 species
UAAGGAAUAUUGAUCAAUGGACGCAAGUCUGAACCAGCCAUGCCGCGUGAAGGAUGAAGGUCCUCUGGAUUGUAAACUUCUUUUAUCUGGGACGAAAACGGGAUUUUUAUCUCAAUUGACGGUACCAGAGGAAUAAGCACCGGCUAACUCCGUGCCAGCAGCCGCGGUAAUACGGAGGGUGCGAGCGUUGUCCGGAAUCACUGGGCGUAAAGGGCGCGUAGGCGGUCUGCUAAGCGUGCGGUGAAAGCCCGGGGCUCAACCCCGGGUCUGCCGUGCGAACUGGUGGACUAGAGCACUGUAGAGGCAGGUGGAAUUCCGGGUGUAGCGGUGGAAUGCGUAGAGAUCCGGAAGAACACCGGUGGCGAAGGCGGCCUGCUGGGCAGUAGCUGACGCUGAGGCGCGACAGCGUGGGGAGCAAACA